UACGUAGGGGGCAAGCGUUGUCCGGAAUUAUUGGGCGUAAAGAGCGUGUAGGCGGUCCGGUAAGUCAGCUGUGAAAGUCAAGGGCUCAACCCUUGAAUGCCGGUUGAUACUGUCGGGCUAGAGUCCGGAAGAGGCGAGUGGAAUUCCCGGUGUAGCGGUGAAAUGCGCAGAUAUCGGGAGGAACACCGAUGGCGAAGGCAGCUCGCUGGGACGGUACUGACGCUGAGACGCGAAAGCGUGGGGAGCAAACAGG
rnacentral:rRNA from 1 species